rnacentral:rRNA from 1 species
AUUGAACGCUGGCGGCAGGCCUAACACAUGCAAGUCGAGCGGAUGAAGGGAGCUUGCUCCUGGAUUCAGCGGCGGACGGGUGAGUAAUGCCUAGGAAUCUGCCUGGUAGUGGGGGAUAACGUCCGGAAACGGGCGCUAAUACCGCAUACGUCCUGAGGGAGAAAGUGGGGGAUCUUCGGACCUCACGCUAUCAGAUGAGCCUAGGUCGGAUUAGCUAGUUGGUGGGGUAAAGGCCUACCAAGGCGACGAUCCGUAACUGGUCUGAGAGGAUGAUCAGUCACACUGGAACUGAGACACGGUCCAGACUCCUACGGGAGGCAGCAGUGGGGAAUAUUGGACAAUGGGCGAAAGCCUGAUCCAGCCAUGCCGCGUGUGUGAAGAAGGUCUUCGGAUUGUAAAGCACUUUAAGUUGGGAGGAAGGGCAGUAAGUUAAUACCUUGCUGUUUUGACGUUACCAACAGAAUGAGCACUGGCUAACUUCGUG